CGCAGCACCUGCCAGGCCCUGACGCGAGGACGCGGCCCCCAGACCCCACGCGCGGCGAGACUGGUGAGGGCGCCUCGCCUGAGCCCCGGGCCGGUGGAGGCCGUCCCUGGCUCCCGUGCGGGGGCCGUAGAGGGUUCCCGCAGAGGAUGCUGCUUCCGCGGCCAGGGAGAUAGAUGAUACUGAGGCGAUGUCGCCUUCCUUUGCAACCUGGGUGUCGGGGCACAAGGAGGCGCGACCUGCCCAGGCGCAGGGCACUGGCCAAAGAGGCAGCGCUGCCGACCUGGAGACCGCUUACAACAACGCGCUUUCAAGCUGGAAUGUGUGUGUGCGAGACGAAACGGUUGCGAGAAAAUAGGGAAGAAACAGUGCUCAACUGCCACCUCUGCCAGCAAAGAGAGGCUCUCACUGAAGCUCCCAGGAUUGAGGAGUACCCCUAAUAGAAUCGUCCCCUGCCAGGAGAUGGAAAAGGUUUAUUUUGAGCACAACAUUCUCACAUGUGUGUCCCCACAUAUCCGGGACCCAGGCUGGGUGUCAGUUUCUUGCUCAGAGAACCUGUGAUUGAGAUUCUCUGGGGGAAAUGUUCCAAAAGAAUCAAUUAACGACGCCAGCAUCAAGUUCAAUACCACUGUACUGAAACCCACCUCUGUAUCUGUGCAUGGAUGAAUUACUGCUGCUCAUGUAAUUGGCAAAUAAUCAUCAUUAUAAUGCAGUGAAAAAUUUCUCCUGCCCUUUUAGACUGAGUAGCACCUCAGCAGAGAGCUGCAGGAAGCCCCACCACACCCUCCAAAAUAUCUAUUUAGGGACCUAUGUGAAGUUUUACCUCCAGGUCUUUUAAUAUGGAAGUAUCUGUGUGGACACAAGGUCACCUCUUACACUCAUUAAACCGAUUGAAUGAGGUCUGAUAACUCUUAAGGGAAAUCAGCGCUGAAAAUGCUUUUGACUUUUUGGAGACAUGGAUGGAAUAUUUUAUCAGAUUUUACUCAGCAUGCAACAGUUCUGCAAACUCCAGAAAGGGCAUCUCUCAGUCCCCUCCUUCCCUUCCCCUCUUAUUCUUUUCCAAACAUCCUGGGGAUUUAGUGGAUGUGGAUAUAAUACGAGAGGUGGAAAGAGGAAGAGCAUCACAGAAAAAGAAAUAUGUCUCUUCUGACCACAUCUGAUUUGAUUUGAUUUUCUUCUUACCUCUGGCAUCCAGUGGGAUUGAAACAAACUCAUAAACACUACCCUCUUUGUUCUAAAUGACUUGAAUAAGGUCAUCCAAUGGCAGGGUUGACUCCAUCAGAUAGUCUUAUAAUUAGUUGUUUUUAUUUUAUUUUUUUUAUACAUAGGUGCCUGAAUAGAUUUUCAGUUAUAAAGCCCCAUAACAACAGAGUUGCGACUUUAUUGAGCUUACAGUUUGAAUGACUAUUAUUUUGUUUUGUCCCAUGUCCCAUCCCCAUUUUUUAAGCAUAGCUUCAAAUUUGCUUUAAUCAAGUUGCUAAAGAAGUAGUUUUAUAAAAAAUUGUGUCACGAAUAACCUUGUGUUGAGAUUUGAAAUGGAGUACAAUAAAAUAGAACUCAGGUAAGGACUUUGAGACCAGCCUUCCAAAGUUCCCUCCUAUGCAAUUGUUUUAGGUGACUGAUUGAAAUUUGAGCUUCAAACUAAGGACAUCAGAAUAAUAAUGGCCACAUAGUGGGAUAAUGAUAAUUAGCACACAAAAGCACAGUUAAUUGCCAUGAAGGUUGUGACACAGACUGACAGAUAGAGUCAAAGUAAAUUGGAAACCUGAAGCCCCAGCCAAGAUUCCUUUAUCAACAAGACUAAGAGACUCCCACUGAAUUUAAGCAUAAUAAGGUGGAAUUAGGACUCAGUCAGCUUUUCUCUCAUCCACACGUUUUCCAGAUUUUAUUGGAUUCUUUAUACAAGACCUGAAAGUAAUAGUUCCAAAGGUCUUUACUUUGCAAAAGCAUUUAUGGUUGAUUUUUAUUGUUCUCACUAGUUAGGUUCCAUAAAGUCACUGCAAACACAGAAUUGCUCCUAGGAAAAACAGAGGGUUAGGUUCCUCAGAGCCUCUGGCUGACAAGAUUUUUUUUAAACCAAGAAAGACACCUGCUUUAAAUACAUAGGGUUGAUUGAUUAACAUUGUACUCACAGUUUGUGGCACUGUAACCCUUGCCUGAACAAAACUUACCUAACAUGUGCGUGUUCUCUGUAAGGCACAUUGAAGCUUUUCUGUGCUUAGGAACCCUAGACAGCACUAUGCUUGAGGCCAUUUUAAACAGCAAAAUCACCAAUAAACAAAAAACCCCAUAAAAAUUGGAAAACCGUGGCACUAGAUAUACUGCUAUAAAGGGAGACUUCUUAACAGUGUGAGAGCUGAACAAGAAGGCAGGGCAUCACCUUGUUUGAGCUCAGCUGGGAGCGUGGGCAUUCAGCAACUCAAAUUUUUAAUUGCUCUCUGUGUGUCUACAAGUGUCUACUCAAGAGCCUUAAGCAUCGACUUUGGGGUUACAAAUAAAUUUGCGCAAAUGGGCAAAUUCACAAAAUACGGAUCUACAAAGAAUGAGGAUCAGCUGUACCAAAUGUUGCCUUUAAAUGGCUAGCCACCUCAGCCCAUAUCUUACCAGAUGCCAUUUACAGAUACUCAAUUUACACACAAUCAUUUUAGGAAUACAUUAUCAUAAGAAGAAAAGAUAUCUUUUAUGCCGUUUGUCUUCUGCCACCUUCCUCAAAUAAAUUAUAUACUACAAUCACGUGGGGUUUUGUUUGUUUGUUUAUUGCAGAUCUCAAGUGGUUUGUGUCUAUUUCCAAAGUGGAUUUUGUUGUUGCUUUUCAGCUUUGUAAUUCAUGAGUUUUUUUGCGAAGAAGGACGGUUCCAAGAACUACACGAAAGGGUAAAAAAGAGAGACUUUAGUGAAGUGAGAAGUGUGUCUUUUUAGAACUUGAGAAAACUGGAGUUCUGGUCUUGGCCCCAAGAACAAGAUGAAUUUAGAUGAGAAACAAAGACUGACUAUUAUCUGCACAGAAGCCCAGAUUCAGAGGAAAUCAAUCUAUGGGCUAAAAUGAGUCAGUCAGAUUCUACCUAUCAAAUUGUUUAGUCUAUUAUUAGGACUUUGAAAGUAAAUGGCUUAUAUAUGAAUCCUUUGAGUAUAUUGUUAAAAAUUCAGAUUUGAGGGGGCCCAGCCCAUGUUGGGAGGCAUUUAAGAUGCAUGCCUGCCCCCCCCCCACUACCACUGUGAUCCAUGCCUUCUGCUAUUUGUGCCCUUAUUUAAUUCCUUUCCUUUUAAAUCUUGGCUAGACGUAUUGAUUCACUGAAAUGAUGGAUGUCACCUCCAAAAUGGGGUUACACAAAGACUGUGGCUUCCAUCUUGGGUGUUGUUUGUAAUCUCUCUCUCUUAGAGAGCCAGUUACCAUGCUGUGAAGACACUCAGGAGGCCUACAGAAAGGCCCAAACGGCAAAUAACCAAGGCCUGCCAGCAAUCCUGUGAAUGAGAUGUGAAGUAGAUGUUUUGAGGUAUCUUGAGGCUUACCAACAGCUACACCAAGGAGCAGGUUCUCCAGCCCUGGUAAAGCCAUAAAGUGAUUGAAUCACUGGCUAAAGGCUUGAUUGUAACUUCAUGAGAGAGUGUUAGCCAGAAACACCUAGCAAGCAUAAACAGUACCUAGACUCCAGACUGAUAAAAGCGUUCAGUAAUUAAUGCUUGUUAAGUCCCUUUGUUUCCUGGUAAUUCAUUUACAUAGCAAUGGAUAAUUUAUACUUCCCCCAAGAUAUUCUGAUAAGGGCAUUUUAAAAAAAACAAGCCAAGUGAUUUUGAUGUAGAUGGUUCAUAAUCCAUUCUUUAUUAAGCCCUGGUAUUUGAAGUUACAAAGAAAUUAAAGAAUUCACCAAAUCAUAUAUCUUUUGAUUUUAUCCUAAACAAUUGAUACUAUAUUUACAUAACCAUAAUUGUAUAUUUUUAGAAUACUUUUAUUUUUUGCAUAUUGUUUCAGUGUCAUUUUCUUCAAGUCCAAUGUGUCCUGAUAUUUUCCUGUCACUAAAUAGUUUUCUAUGCCCUAAUUUUUAAAAACAGCUUAAUAUUUCAUUUUAGAAUAGUCUACAAGUUAAUCAAUUCCCUAUUGUUGAGCACUUAAAUUGCUUGUAUUCUGCUGACAAAUAACUCAUUGAUAAAUAUAGAAAAGUUAAAUUUGACACACAUCCUUAUUUCCUUAGAACAAAUUCCUAGAAUUUGAACUACUGAGUCAAAAAAUAUUGUGAUUUUGCUCAUUCUUAAUUAUUAGAUUCUCUUUGGUAGGUAUCCAUAAUCAGAAACAAUUAGAGGAGGCAUAGGUGAGGGCUCUAUGCCUCAUUCCCAAUACUCUCAAAAUAAGAGAGUAAAUUAUGAUAAAAGAAGAUUCGAGGCUAAAUUCCUCACAUGUAACAACAGAGCAGACAUUAACAAAACAAAACAAAAUAAUAGUCAUUCAAACUGUAAGCUCAAUAAAGUCGCAACUCUGUUGUUAUAGGUUUUCCAGCAGUGCUUGGAAUGAAACAUUCACUACAGGCAAGAGUGUUGCAAGGACAAGAUUGAAUUAAAGUCUGAGUUGGAGUCAGGUAACAAAAUCCUCUGGAAAUUUCUCAGCACAGAACUGAUUGGAAUUAUAAGCAUGGAACAUCCUUUCUAAGAAUACUGGGCUAUUGGGCUGACCAGAUUCUCAUACUAUAGUCUGCAAGGGCAAACCUCAUUGUACCAUUUUCUAGCCAAACCCUUAUAUUAAACACCACUCAUUUCACUAGUGAAAUAAUCAUUUACCAGUAAUAAUAAUCAUUGCUACCUUCAGUUAUGCCAAUUAGCAAAGCUUCUCUCUUUAUAUUCUAUGCAGUCGAUCCUUGAUAGUAUUAAUAAAUAAAGUUAAUUCAAUCUCUGGGGAGUUUUUGAUAAGAGGUUUACAGAUGCUAACUGUAAUUCCUACCUCUGAUUCCUGGUUAGGAAACUGCAAAUGUUAACCAACAACAGCACUAGUUAAAACCAACACACUCAAAAUCACACACGCAACCAUCAGCCAUAUGUCACACUAGAUAACAGUUUUAAUUAAAUUAAAUGCAACGUGAAAAUUUAUACACAUGUUAAACAUGAUAGCUAUUCAUUUUGCCAAAGUUUGUGUCAAUUCACUCUUUCAUCACAGUUUUUUUUUUCAGUUCGUUGCAUACUUGCUAAAUGCGUAUUAUAAUUUUAUUUACAUCUUUUCUAAUUUGUG
ensembl:lincRNA